GAAUAGGGGAGCCGGAGGGAAACCGAGUCUUAAUUGGGCGUUAAGUUGCAGGGUAUAGACCCGAAACCCGGUGAUCUAGCCAUGGGCAGGUUGAAGGUUGGGUAACACUAACUGGAGGACCGAACCGACUAAUGUUGAAAAAUUAGCGGAUGACCUGUGGCUGGGGGUGAAAGGCCAAUCAAACCGGGAGAUAGCUGGUUCUCCCCGAAAGCUAUUUAGGUAGCGCCUCGUGAAUUCAUCUCCGGGGGUAGAGCACUGUUUCGGCUAGGGGGCCAUCCCGGCUUACCAACCCGAUGCAAACUGCGAAUACCGGAGAAUGUUAUCACGGGAGACACACGGCGGGUGCUAACGUCCGUCGUGAAGAGGGAAACAACCCAGACCGCCAGCUAAGGUCCCAAAGUCAUGGUUAAGUGGGAAACGAUGUGGGAAGGCCCAGACAGCCAGGAUGUUGGCUUAGAAGCAGCCAUCAUUUAAAGAAAGCGUAAUAGCUCACUGGUCGAGUCGGCCUGCGCGGAAGAUGUAACGGGGCUAAACCAUGCACCGAAGCUGCGGCAGCGACGCUUAUGCGUUGUUGGGUAGGGGAGCGUUCUGUAAGCCUGUGAAGGUGGCCUGUGAGGGUUGCUGGAGGUAUCAGAAGUGCGAAUGCUGACAUAAGUAACGAUAAAGCGGGUGAAAAGCCCGCUCGCCGGAAGACCAAGGGUUCCUGUCCAACGUUAAUCGGGGCAGGGUGAGUCGACCCCUAAGGCGAGGCCGAAAGGCGUAGUCGAUGGGAAACGGGUUAAUAUUCCCGUACUUGGUGUUACUGCGAAGGGGGGACGGAGAAGGCUAUGUUGGCCGGGCGACGGUUGUCCCGGUUUAAGCGUGUAGGUGUGUGUUCCAGGUAAAUCCGGUUCACUUUAACACUGAGGCGUGAUGACGAGGCACUACGGUGCUGAAGUAACAAAUGCCCUGCUUCCAGGAAAAGCCUCUAAGCAUCAGGUAACAUCAAAUCGUACCCCAAACCGACACAGGUGGUCAGGUAGAGAAUACCAAGGCGCUUGAGAGAACUCGGGUGAAGGAACUAGGCAAAAUGGUGCCGUAACUUCGGGAGAAGGCACGCUGACAC
rnacentral:rRNA from 1 species